UUAACUCAAAUUUGUAUGGAGUUGCAAAGUUUGCCUACGUUUGCCGCUAGGGGCGCUGUUCCAACUCCAUACAAAUUUGAGUUA
rfam:Bombyx mori DNA, contig: Bm_scaf12_contig9733, strain: p50T/Dazao, build 2, whole genome shotgun sequence.